AACCCAAUGUGAACGUUACCAAACUGUUGCCUCGGCGGGAUCUCUGCCCCGGGUGCGUCGCAGCCCCGGACCAAGGCGCCCGCCGGAGGACCAACCUAAAACUCUUUUUGUAUACCCCCUCGCGGGUUUUUUAUAAUCUGAGCCUUCUCGGCGCCUCUCGUAGGCGUUUCGAAAAUGAAUCAAAACUUUCAACAACGGAUCUCUUGGUUCUGGCAUCGAUGAAGAACGCAGCGAAAUGCGAUAAGUAAUGUGAAUUGCAGAAUUCAGUGAAUCAUCGAAUCUUUGAACGCACAUUGCGCCCGCCAGUAUUCUGGCGGGCAUGCCUGUCCGAGCGUCAUUUCAACCCUCGAACCCCUCCGGGGGGUCGGCGUUGGGGAUCGGCCCUCCCUUAGCGGGUGGCCGUCUCCGAAAUACAGUGGCGGUCUCGCCGCAGCCUCUCCUGCGCAGUAGUUUGCACACUCGCAUCGGGAGCGCGGCGCGUCCACAGCCGUUAAACACCCAACUUCUGAAAUGUUGACCUCGGAUCAGGUAGGAAUACCCGCUGAACUUAAGCAU
rnacentral:rRNA from 1 species